rnacentral:snRNA from 1 species
GGAUGUGAGGGCAACCUGGCUGCAGACAUCUGCCACCCCAUUGAUCGCCAGGGUUUAUUCAGCUAAUCUGCUGGCUAGGCAGAUGUCCCUUUCCUCCCUCACUGCUCCGUGUGUCCAUGCACGCUUGGUCGAAGACGAUGACCUUCCUCCAAAUAGAGGAGGACCUGUCUUCGGUCAAGGGUAAACAAGUAACUGUGCUCCCUGCUAGAACCUCCAAACAAGCUCUCAAGAGGUGGCAUCAAGUUAGGGUGUGGCUUUCUGGGACUUGGAGAAAAGCUGUGUGCUCUCUCU